GGGUCGAUGGCGUAGUUGGUUAUCGCAUCUGUCUAACAUGCAGAGAAUUAUGUGGGCUGUCUGUACACAGAAGGUCCUCAGUUCGAACCUGGGUCGACUCA